UCAGGCGGCCGGGCGGCCGCGCUCCGCACCCGCCCCGCGAGGGGCGGCAGGCUCCGAAAGGAGGCGGGGUGAGGAAAGUCCGGGCUCCACGGGAACACGGUGCCGGGUAACGCCCGGCGGGGGCGACCCCAGGGAAAGUGCCACAGAAAAGAGACCGCCUGCGCUCCGCACCGGGCUCCCGGGGCGGACCGAAGGCAAGGGUGAAACGGUGCGGCAAGAGCGCACCGCGCGCGCCGGCAACGGCCGCGGCACGGCAAACCCCACCGGGAGCAAGACCGAAUAGGGGCGGACGGCCGCUGGUCCGACAGGGCCAGGCGGCAGGCGCGUUCCCGCGCUCUCCGCCCGGGUUGGUCGCGCGAGGCGCCCGGAGACGGGCGUCCUAGAGGAAUGGCCGUCCAGGGGCCGAACGGCCCCGGACAGAACCCGGCUUACAGGCCGCCUGACCCC
rnacentral:RNase_P_RNA from 1 species